rnacentral:rRNA from 1 species
UACGGCGGGGACUAGCGUUGUUCGGAAUUACUGGGCGUAAAGCGCACGUAGGCGGAUUUGUAAGUCAGGGGUGAAAUCCCGGGGCUCAACCUCGGAACUGCCUUUGAUACUGCAAAUCUCGAGUCCGGAAGAGGUGAGUGGAAUUCCUAGUGUAGAGGUGAAAUUCGUAGAUAUUAGGAAGAACACCAGUGGCGAAGGCGGCUCACUGGUCCGGUACUGACGCUGAGGUGCGAAAGCGUGGGGAGCAAACAGG